AUUGAACGCUGGCGGCAUGCCUUACACAUGCAAGUCGAACGGUAACAGGUUAAGCUGACGAGUGGCGAACGGGUGAGUAAUACAUCGGAACGUGCCCAGACGUGGGGGAUAACGUAGCGAAAGCUACGCUAAUACCGCAUACGAACCGAGGUUGAACGCGGGGGACCGUAAGGCCGCGCGCGGUUGGAGCGGCCGGUGGCAGAUUAGGUAGUUGGUGGGGUAAAGGCUUACCAAGCCUGCGAUCUGUAGCUGGUCUGAGAGGACGACCAGCCACACUGGGACUGAGACACGGCCCAGACUCCUACGGGAGGCAGCAGUGGGGAAUUUUGGACAAUGGGCGCAAGCCUGAUCCAGCAAUGCCGCGUGCAGGAUGAAGGCCUUCGGGUUGUAAACUGCUUUUGUACGGAGCGAAACGGCUUCCACUAAUACUGGGGGCUAAUGACGGUACCGUAAGAAUAAGCACCGGCUAACUACGUGCCAGCAGCCGCAGUAAUAC
rnacentral:rRNA from 1 species